AUAUUGCGCAAUGGGCGAAAGCCUGACGCAGCAACGCCGCGUGCGGGAUGAAGGCCUUCGGGUUGUAAACCGCUUUCAGUGGGGACGAAAACAGACGGUACCCACAGAAGAAGCCCCGGCCAACUACGUGCCAGCAGCCGCGGUAACACGUAGGGGGCGAGCGUUGUCCGGAUUUAUUGGGCGUAAAGAGCUCGUAGGCGGCUCGGUAAGUGAGGUGUGAAAACUCCAGGCUCAACCUGGAGACGCCACCUCAUACUGCCGUGGCUAGAGUCCGGUAGGGGAGCAUGGAAUUCCUGGUGUAGCGGUGAAAUGCGCAGAUAUCAGGAGGAACACCAGUGGCGAAGGCGGUGCUCUGGGCCGGAACUGACGCUGAGGAGCGAAAGCGUGGGGAGCAAACAGG
rnacentral:rRNA from 1 species